UUAGCCGCUGUUGCCAUGCGGUACCUGCCUUCUAAGCAGGUGGUCGCAGGUUCGAAUCCUGCAGGGGUCGCCA
rnacentral:tRNA from 1 species